UUAAGUACAAGGAAAACAGCCAAACUUCAUACAAAAGUUUGGACAUAGAACUCUGCAGGAAGGAGAAGAUUUAAUCUUGCAUUGCACUAUACAUGGAAAGCCCAAACCACAUGUCUGCUGGACAAAGGAUGACAUCCAAGUGGUAUCUGGAGAUAUCAGUACUGAGAAAUUAGGAGAUACCUAUUACCUUUUAAAAAGAAAUGUAGUCCUUGCUGAUACUGGGAAAUACAUCUGUGUUGCCAGCAAUGAAAUUGGAAAGGCUCACUGUUCUGCUUUUGUGACGGUGAUAGAGAAAAAUAAACCCCCGCACACUUCCAGUGUAAUGCAGGCUAAACCAGAAUGUGAA